AUCAAAUUUUAGUGUAAUGUAUAAAUGUAUAUUCUCCUAGAAUCUUAAUAAGAUCUACCUCGAAGAUCUGAAAAGGAAAGGCUGGAUGUCUAUCAUCAUAGAAUACGAAAGAGUUGAAUUAUUCUCUUUAUCACAAUCUCCCAUCCACUCAGCCUAUUGUUGCGUCUAGAUUCACUAUGUACUACUAGCUGCUGUACGAAACAGUUCCUAUAUAAGUUGGCGACCAUCACUGAUAAUAUAAACAACAAGAGGAUUAGUAAUUUGGUAUAGGUGCAAUGGUGCAUAGAUCAAGUGUCCCCUAGAGUUCCCUUGAGCACUUCACUGGGACCCUUCAGACCGAAAGAGUAUUAUCUUUCCCACUGAAGUGUUUGGGGGAACUCCUGGUGUCAUUUGAUGUUAAUAAUUAGUUAAUUGCAAGCUCAGAAAACAAGAAAUCAGUCUUGUGUUACUCCCUGGUCCUCAGAUAUAAUGGUAUAAGUGAUUUUUCAUUAGGUCAUCAUGGUGAAUUCUCUUCUUCCUGUUUUCCUUUCAUAGUUUGCUAGCAUGUAAAUAUUACUACAAUAUGACCUCUUGGUAUAAAGAUACUGAUAAGCUGGCCCUUAAUCCUCCAUAAGAUUAGAACCUGCUUUUUCAAUUCAUUUCCACCAUUUAAGGGAGAUUCCUAGUACAGAAAUUUGAUAGGUUUUUCCAUGCAACAUAUGCAUUAAGCACCAUCCAUUACCUUAGGAAGAACCUACUAAGAGAACUUAAGCAAGCCGAAUUUCUACAAUGAAACCCCAUGAAACGGUGAACAGGUCAGAGUUACUGAUUAUUUGAAAUGAAAAAGGGUUGUUGCACCAUUUUAAGGGAUUGCUUUAUAAGACUAGAGAAAAGAGGACUAAUUCUUCCUACAGCAAAAGCAGGUCAAAUGAAUUUCUUUCUUCUGUUAUUUGCCCGUGCUUUUAAACUAAGUUGACCCGUUGCAUAUUUUUAACUUGUGUUUUCUUCAAACACAAGCAUGUGUUGGCCAUGUGUGUGCUUGCCUUCAGUUUUAGAUCAUAGUCAAGUAGAUUAAGUAUAUAUCCUCCAGUUUCAUUUUACCAAAAUAUCUGGAGCUAAUUGCUUUUAAAACCAGGGUCAUUAUGUUUGCUAGUGUCAUGUCUUUUUGUUGAAGAAUAAAAGUAUUUGGAGUACGAAUAUCUCAAAUGAUUGCAGCUGGAACUGGAGGACAAUCUUAAAAUUUAGAAGCAUUGCAAGGGAUCAUCUGGUGCAUAGUACUGGGAAUGGACGGAAUGCUUUUCCUUGGUGGGAUCGGAUUGGCAUCCUGUAGGUCGUUUGAAUGAGAUUGUUGGAAUGAGACUUCUUUAUCAAUCAGGCUUUCCUCCUUCUAAUGCUAAAUUUUGUGAUUUCAUCUCAAAUGGAGAAUGAUAUUGGCCUAGUGCUAGCUCAGAUGAAAUGCUUAUCAUACAAACUGCAGUUUGCGGUGGUCUUUCCUUCAAUGAUGAUGUUUCUGCUAAUGGGAUCGCAAUCCGAGUUCGCCUCAUGCAAAACUAAUUCAAGAUCCGCACAAAAUCAUGAGUUCAUGGAAUGAUUCAAUCAAUUUCUGUAAUUGGGUUGGUGUUUCAUGCUGUCCAUCUAAUGGAAGUGUGGUAACUUUGAACCUGGAGUAUUAAAGUUUAGUAGGCUCUAAACCGCCUUCUAUAGGAAAUCUUACAUAUCUUACAAGAAUUAACCUGUGAAACAACAGCUUUGGUGGGUGAAUUUCCUGAAGAACGGGUUGGUCGUCUCCUUCCCUUGCAGCAUAUCAUCUUGACCUUCAAUUACUUAGGAGGAAAGAUUCCAACUAAUCUCACUUAUUGUACAGAAAUUAGAGUGCUCGGUCUUGCUGUCAACAAGUUUAUUGGGGAGAUUCCAGACCAGCUUAGCUCACUGACAAAGUUGGUUAUCCUAGGUUUUGGAGGUAAUAGCUUUACAGGAAGCCUUCCACUUAGCGUUAGUUGGCAAAAUAAAGUGGGGUAAUUGUAGAGAUUUAUUUUGCUGUGUUUGUAAACUUCACAAUUUACGGGUCGAAGUAAAUUAGAGCAAUCAACUAAUUGAUAGCUAAGGAUAACUUUCUAAAUUAGCUAUCCGUACAAACUAUAUAUGUAGAUACCUUGUAAAUUAUAAAUGGUGGAAAGCCAAAUCAAUCUUUAAAGUCACAGUUACAAACAGGAGGAGGACGCUGGCCAUACUGUGGUAAUUUAAUUCAUGCCCAUGAGACUUGUUUUAAAUUACAUGGGUAUCUAAGAUGUUGGGACGAACUCAAGGCUCGAAAAUAGCAUGAGACAGGUUUCAAUGAUGGUUCAAGGAAUGUUGCUUUGGUAAAUGCCGAACCUUAGUUAUCUCUUAUCUCACAGAUUUCAUUACUUGAAAUCUUGCUCCUAGAAAAGCGCUCGUGUUCUCGAAGAAUGAUCAUCUGGACAUUAGUGGCUAUACAAAUACAGAUUGAGUAGGAAGUGUUACUGACAAGUAUCCAUGUUUGACUAUUUUACCUUUGUGGGAGGUAAUUCAGUUACUUGAAGGAGCUAGAAACAAAAUGCUGUGGCAUUGUCCAGUACAUAUUAACAAAUAGGCUAGAACCUAUUUGUUAAGUCUAAUGACUGGUUGGCAGACAUAUUAACAAAGAUAGUUUCCAGUAAAGUAUUUCACAACUCGCUCGACAAGCUGGGUAUCAAAGAUAUCUAUGCCCCAAUUUGAGGAAGAAUGUUGGCGAGAAUUAACAAGAUAAAGUGGAGUAAUUGUAGAGAUUUAUCUUUCUAUGUACUAACUAGUUAUGUAGAUGCUCAGUAAACCAAGAGAAAUAGAAUAGGAAGUUAAUAUUUUACCUACUGUUAACACCACCUUGGAUAGGGAAUUUUUCUUCUAUGUUUGCUUUGUGAUCACUUCCCCUGAAUAAUUCACGAGGAAGCAUGCCUAAUAUAAGAGGAUUGGGUUAUUUUCAGGUUUAUGAAAAUUAUUUGUCUGGUAUGAUUCCAUCUUCAAUUUAUAAUAUUUCUUCAAUAUACUAGUUCUCUGUUACUCAAACCAGCUGCAUGGGCAGUUACCACCAGAUGUAGGUUUGACUUCGUGGCGUGGAAAUAUUUGCUGGUGGUGUUAAAAGUUUUACAGGACUCAUACCUGUAUCAAUGUCUAAUGCUUCUGGACUUCAGGUUCUCGAUUUUGCUCAAAAUGGUCUCACUGUAACUAUUCCAAGGAAUCUAGGAUGGUUAAACAGUUUAGUUAGACUCAAUUUUGAUCAAAACAACCUGGGAAAUGGGGAUGUCGUUGAUGACUUGAGUUUUCCUAGUUCUUUGGCUAACUAGACGAACUACACAAAGAUGUUAAUACGACAGGAUGAUUUGUAAAAGGAUGUAGAGCUAGGGUGGCUUAACAAAAAUAUUAGAGAUUCAUUCAUGAUAAAAUAACUCAUAUAUAAAAUAAUGUUUCGUGAUGGAGAAGAGUUUGUGACUAAGUUUUAAAUUCAAUAACUAGUUCCUUCCAAUUAAGGAAGACUACUGCAAGAUUUUUUUUAGAAUAUUUUAUUUUUUUUAGUUUAGUAAUUUUAGUUUUUUUUCCCAUUUUAUUUUUCUAUUUAAUACUAUUAAGAUUUUCUAGUUUUUUUAUUUGAAAUUAAAGGAAUAAUUUUUCUAUUUUUUUUAUUUAGUAUUAAUGUAGUUUUCUAAAAAAAUAUCUAUAUAAAGGAUUGUAAUAAUUAUUUAGCAAGUAAAAUUAAGAUAAAUAAAAAAUAAAUAUUUUAAAUAUUUCCUCAUAGUUAUGUAAUUAUGUUUUUAUUUUCAAGAGUUUUGACUCAUAAAAAUGCUAUUGUUUACUUGAGCUACGUCACAACCUUGGUCUUUCAUCUGUCUGAAUUUCUUUGAUAAUGUCUAAUUAUUCCUUAACUUGUCCCCUGCCAUUACAAGUAAUAGCUUACAAAAUCAUGUGGAGUUGGAUGUACGAGGGAACAAAAUGCCAGGUGAAAUUCCAAGUACCUUGGCACCUGUUGCAGUUUAGAACGCCUGCAUUUAGAGGGAAAUAAAUUUGAAGCACCAAUUCCUGGAUCUCUGAAAACUUCGAGAGGUUUAGAAGAACUGGAUCUGUCAAAAAAUAAUUUAACUGGGAGGAUCCCCGAGUUUCUCGGCAGGUUAUUAGCUCUCAAGCAUCUCAAUCUUUCUUGUAAUGAUUCAGAGACGGAAGUGUCAAGAGAAGGUACAUUUGCAAAUGCAAAUGCCAUCCCAGUAUUUGGAAAUGAUAAGCUAUACAGAAUUACAUUUACCUAAAUGCUCCAGGAAAAAACCCAGAGAACCUCUUUCCUUCAAGGUAGUAAUCCCAGCAAUAAUAGCAGCAACAUUCAUUACUGUUGUAUUGUGCUCUCUUUCUAAUUUUUGUAUGGUAAGAAAGUUAACAAGGCAUUUCAAUGCACCUGUCUCUGAGGAAUAGAAAGUAGGUAUGUCAGUCUCGGAACUCGUAAAAUCAACCGAUGGAUUCGCUGCUGAGAAUUUGAAUGGUUCUGGCAGCUUUGGUUCUGUGUACUAAGCAAUUCUUUCUGGUGAAAGAAGAAAUGUUGCGAUCAAGAUUCUGAACCUUCAUCAGCAAGGUGCUUCAAAAAGUUUCACUCAUGAAUGUAAUGCUUUAAGAAGCGUAAGGCAUCGUAACCUCCUGAGGAUCAUCACAGCUUGCUCAACUGUUGGUCAUCAAGGUAAUGAUUUCUUGCUCCAAUGUUGAUCAUCAAGGUAAUGAUUUCAAAGUUCUUGUUUUUGAGUUCAAGUCUGAUGGCAAUCUAGACCAGGGGCUACAUCCAACAACUCGAACUAACAAAUUGAGCUUUACUCAGACUGAAAAUAGCCAUUGAUGUUCCUUCUGCAUUGGAUUAUAUAUCUCCUUCACCAUUGUGAAACUCAGAUCUUUCACUGUGAUUUUUAAAGCCAAGCAGCGUUGGUGACUUUGGAUUAGCUAAAUUCCUACUCUAAAAAUCAAACAAUUUCUGCAGGUUUAAAGGGCUCCAUUGGCCACAUCAUUCAAGGUAUGGGUCUUAACCUGACGAAUCAUCUCGAAUUCAUGGUUGCUAAUUAUUAAGAAGCUAUAGCAAAUGGAGUCUCAUCGUAGCCAAGCCCCUGUUAUGGUGGACAAAACGUGUCGUUUUAGGCCUUUUGACUUGAAACGGUGUCUUUUUGUCUGCUAUAGCAGAACCUUUUUGGCUGAACAUUUUUUUUCAACAGCAAGUGGCUGCUGAAAAUCGUAGACGCAGCACCAGAGUCGCAACGUUGUGUUGGCAGGAGCCAUCCGCCACGUUUUUUAAAAUAAUUUUUAGGGUCCUAGCCGGAUGCUUACAACCUAGUCGCUUCGGCACCAUGCCCAUGCCCGUAGGCUUGACAAGCGCCCGACCCAAUUUUUUUAUUUUUAUUUUUGUAGUUUUUUUGUUUAUUUAUUUAUUUUCAUUAUCUAGUAUUUUAUCAUUUGCUCAA